AACUUUUUGAGUCAAUGCAGAGAUUCCGUCAGACACCAACACAUUAGGGCUGAUCAAACUUCCAAGAUAAGUGAAGUA
rnacentral:pre_miRNA from 1 species